UUUCUUUUAAUUUCUCAUUUUCUCUGUUUUGAUUCCUGAUGGUUACUGUGAUUCUUAGUCUUUUUUUGUGUUUCUUUAAUUGUUUAAUUUAGAUUUUUUCAAACCUGACUCAAGAUCAACUCUACCAUGUAUACACGCACUGGUUAUUAUUCAUAUCAAGAUCGAGCAAAUCACUUCUGCAUUCAACGAAUCAAUCGUAAACGAUACAAACUGAGAAGAAAUAGGAAAUACAACGAAAAUCCUGAUUUAAUUGGACCAGUUAAUCCAGAAAAUGUUACAAUUGUUAAAGACAAGAGGGACAAUAAGUAUGCUAUGGAUCCAAUCAUUUGGCUCCUUAAAUUUAUUCAAAAAUCUAGUCGAGCAGGCAAAAGAUGAUAAUCAAAUUUUAAGGUGGUCAUUUAUUCGCACAAAAAGAUUGAUACUUUCUUAAUAAAAAUCAUAAUGAUAUGAUAAACUGUGAUAUUUAUUUUUGAUACUUGUUUCUAUUCUUUGUUCAUACAAUGAUCUGUUAAUAAUCUACCUUAAAUUACAAUAACUUCUCAACUUCAAAACAAAUGUAAAAUAACACAUUAAUAUCAUGUACUUGUUAAAUUCGUAAAUAUUAAAUAAAAUUAUGAAAUCAAAAUAAA